GACGAACGCUGGCGGCGUGCCUAAUACAUGCAAGUCGAGCGGGGUUUCUUCGGAAACCUAGCGGCGAACGGGUGAGUAACACGUGGGCAACCUGCCCUCGAGACUGGGAUAACUCCGGGAAACCGGGGCUAAUACCGGAUAAUCAUUUCCUCCGCAUGGAGGAGAUGUAAAAGAUUUAAUCGCUCGAGGAUGGGCCCGCGGUGCAUUAGCUAGUUGGUGAGGUAACGGCUCACCAAGGCAACGAUGCAUAGCCGACCUGAGAGGGUGACCGGCCACACUGGGACUGAGACACGGCCCAGACUCCUACGGGAGGCAG
rnacentral:rRNA from 1 species